CUGCCUGCCUCAGCCUCCCAAAGUGCUGGGAUUACAGGUGUGAGCCACCGCGCCUGGCUGGAAUAAACAAUUUUUUGACAUAGUCACACAAUGGAACACUACCCAGCAAUUAUUAAUAAAAGGAUGAAAUACUUUUAAGUGCAUUAUAUGAAUGAAUCUCAAAAAUAUUAUUCUAAGUGAAAAAAGCCAGACACAAAAGAGUAUAUGUCGAAUAUUUCAUUUACACAAAAUUCCAGAAAAGUCAAAUUAAUCUAUAGUGGUAGAAAUAAGAUCAGUAGUUGCCAAAGACAAAGGGAGGGUGGAAUUGACUAUUAAAAGGAAUGAGGGCACAUUUUUGAGGGAUACAUUAUAUUUCUUCAUUACUACAAUGGCUAUCUGAGGUAUACAUAUGUCAAACCUCAUCAAACUGUACACUUAUGGAUGCAUAUUAUUAUAUAUAAAUUACAUAUCAGUAAAAUUGAUUAGUAAAGAUACAGUUAAGAUAGACAUUUAGGGAUAUUUCAGAACUGAAUAUGUUUGAGUGAAGUAGCAGAAAUUGAUACUUCUGGAUAUCUGAGCUCAACAAAUAUAACACCUGUGCAAUAUAUUUGAAUUUGUUUAGCAGCUUAGUAAAAAAUCAAAGCACAUUAGAUUGCUAUCUAAUAAAGCAAAUACAUUCAGAAACUAAAUUAUGCUAAAAUUUAUUAUUUGAGUCCUUAGACAAAGAAGAUUUAAUAACAUAAACACCAAAACUAUCAACAUCAGUUUUGCAACCAAUAUAAAAUAUGGACCAGUUUUUAGAUGAUGCUGAAUUAUAGGAUAUGAGAUUUUGGAAUUUAUUUGCUGGCAUGAGGUUCUAUGAAGUAAUUUUUGGGGAGCAGGAAAUAUUAUAUAAUAUUACAAGGUGAAAAUACGUUGCAUGAUUUGCAAUAGAAGUGGUACCCAUUGUUGAUAAGGAAAGUAACAAAUCUUGUGUAAGGUGGAUGAAGGAAGAAAGAACAGUGUAGAUUCCUAUGUAAUGUCACUCGUGAUAGGUAUUAAAUGCUGGAACCAGAACACAGGUGGUGGAAAUGAAGUAGCCUGGAUAUAUCCCGAACCUAAUGUCGAGAUAAAAUCUUUAAUGGCAAAAACAGCAAUUACUUUUGCACCAACCUAACGGAAUGAAAUUUCUUGUUGGCUGUUAAUACAGCAUGGAUGAGUCUCUCAAUUGGAAGGCAACAAGCUAAGUAAGCUAAGUUUCCAGGUUCCUUUUCUUGUAAGAUUCUCUAAUUCUGUGCAGGCAGCCAACAUGGGAAUAAGCAAUUACCUUUGGACCUUUCACACUGAGCAUAGAGAUUUUUGCCCAACCUUUGAAGUUUAGCUUAGCAAAGUUGUAACAAUCAUGUGAAAGAUGUUUGGUGGGUAUUUGAAUAGUUGCUGGGAUCUCAGACACAAGUGUGUCAUUAAGGAAUUCACAGCUUAAUAGGGACAACAGACUCUAAAAGAUUUGAAUAUGUUGUCACAUGUACUAAACCUGAGGGCUCUGAGAGUACAGGGGAAGCCUCCUAACUUGAACUGGUGGUGAAAACUAAUUCAAAGAAGGCUUCCAAGAGGUAAGUCUUCCUGGUGAAGAAAAUGAGAAGGGUGCCUCAUGGGAGUCAUCUUCACAUUGGGAGGGAUUAGUUAGAACCCUGGAAGACGCACAUAGAAAUAGUUAAUUAACAUGAUCAUUUUUUAGUCUCUAUCCUUCUCAACUUGACUUCAUAAGAGCACUGGUGUUUUGAGAGGUGUUCAUAGGUAUUGCGUUCUAAAAAGAAAGCAAAAUAAAACCACACUCGAACACAGGGGUUAAACACAAGAUUGAACAAAAUAAAAACCUUUUUAUUACAGACUUUCUCAGAGCAUUUGAUUUACUAAUGGGAAAUAUUAGAUGAAUAUAAUUAAUAUAUGCAUCAUAUGAAUAUAAUUACAUGUAUUAGAUGAAUAUAAAUACAGCGUAUAGCAGUUUCCAGACUUAUGUGACCACAGAACACUUUUUUUUUUUUUUUUUUUUGGUAGAAUCCCUGUGAAUACCUCAACUGUGUGUUCUGGGAAGUUUAGAAAACAUUAUAUCCUAUUCAUUUCUUAACUUUCUCUGUUGGCAUCUGUCAAGGAUAUUGAAAAGAUAUGUUCAUGUUCAACUUUUCCUGGUUCUCAUUUGGACUCUUUCUCAGAUGACCAAAAUCUCAUGCUAAAUUGAUUUCAGACUCCGAUAGGAGAAAAUCUAUCAUUUCCCCCAGUAUUGCAGCAAUCACACCACAGCCUGGAGCUGAUUAGUCUGCUCAGUGCCACAGCCUCAGCCAGGCCAGGCCAGGGGCUGGGAGCUUUCCAAGCUGACCAUCACUCCCAGAUCAAAUUCAUCUCCUCCGAGCUCAGCCUGCUCCCAUGCUCAAAAUCUCAAGAAUCUACCCAUGUAGCGUUCCUUCCCUUUCUCUUUGGAACCAUGGAGCUCCACUGGAAAGGAACCUGGGUACCUGACACCUUGGAAGGGUCCUGACAUUUGUUCCUUUCCAACUGAAAGUCUUCCUUGAGGGGUGGAGCAAACUGAAGGCCCCCGCUAGCCCCACGUAUUGCCCAAAGACUCUCUGAGGCUCUGUGCUGCUUACUUCCUACCAGGCAGAGAUUACUAGCCUCCUCAGCAGAUGAAAAAACGAAAGCUCAGAGCGGUAAGAUCAUUUGUCCAAGGUCUCAGAGUGGCGGAACUGGCAGUGGACACGACUAAGAUGACCCCAAGAGCCUGCACUGUCAGUCGUCACCCCGUAUUGUCUCUUGGUGCCAAACCUGCAUGACAUCCCAGUGCUAGUUUUGAGAGAGAACCCUCUUCCCUCUUCCCAUUUGCAUGCCUCACACUGUAGUUUAGAAUGCCUUCUUUCUUUUGCUUUGAUUCCCCCCCCAACCCUUUCUGGAAAGGAUAAUCUCCAAGAAAUUCCCUUAGGAUAUCUCACGUCAUUCCUAGUCUAAAUUCUUCGAAGUGAAGAAGCGUUUUGAGAUUCGGUGAUUAUUUUCAGCAUCACAUUAGGAUGUGCCCUCCAAAUUUAGUGUGUGAGACUAAUGUCCCCAAGUGUGCAUUCUGAACAUUGUUAUAGCAUGCCCCUGUGUACACCCUGUGAACAUUCCCGACAGUAUCCUCUUGCAAUCCCCACAUACUAGCUUUCAGAUAUUCCAAAAUGUAACCAAAAUGAAUUGCUUAAUUGGAUGGAUAUUAGUAUUUUUCACUUGAUAAAAACCAUGUCUGCAAAGCACCUUAGUGUGUUGUUGUAACUUAGUUUAUUAUUAUUGCUGAUAAGGAUAAUAAACAUUUCUGAUGGUAAAAAUGAACACAUUCUUCAUGUACUUCUAGGUCAGAAACCUCUGCUAUUAAUCAGAUCCUUCUGAGUAGUUUCAUAUCUAGUUUUGAUCCCUAUGCCAUAUCCUUAGAGAAAAAACAUGUACUUUUAAUUUGGUCAUGAAAGUUACUGUUUGAAUAGAUUUUUUAAGACUUUAGGCAUUCUGGUUAUUUAAAUUGACUCAGACAGUAUAAACUAGACUCCCUGACAUUCCUGGGCCUUCAAGACUCAAUGGCUUCUGGUAAGCAGCCACUCAGGCCUCCAGUUGGCCUUAACUAAGUCAGCCCCAACACACCAGUUCCUUAGAAUUACAUGCAAGGUCAUAGGAUUUCAAUUAAAAAAAUACUUUAACACGAGGCCAGAAUACCUAUGGCUGUAACCUGCUCUUGAAUAAACUUUCUCCCUGUCAUUUUUUUGUGUGUGUGAAAUACUUUACUCUUUUUAUAGAUCUUGGUCUUUUGCAAUCAUACAGGAUUCUAUUUGUUGAGUACCUUCUUUGCAUUGGAAAUUUGAAUUUCUUUUUACCCUUACAGUAUACCUAUAAGGCAAAUAUCAUCAACUUCAUUUUACAGAUGAACAAUAAGUUACUAGUGAACUGGUGAUGAAAAUUAAAGAAGGCUUUUGAACAUGAAUAUACCUUUUCAAUAUCCUUGACAGAUGCCAACAGAAAAAGUUAAGAAAUGAAUAGGAUACAAUGUUUUCUAAACUGUUCCCAUAACACAUAGUUGGGUAUUUGCAGGGACUUAUUAUUCAGUUAGAACAAUAAGUGACUUAUUGAUUAACUGCUUCUAAAUGAUAUAAAUAGGGUUUAAACUAGUAUUUAUCAUGUAUACACAAUAAAGAUUUAUUGUUAACAUAAAUUGAGCAUUUAUCAUAUUCUAAUCACUGUUCCAUUAGAUUGAACCACAUAAAAUUGCUGCUCUUUCACCUAUCAAAUGGCAAUUUCAUGUGGUUUAACCUAAUAGUUGUCUCAUUUGAUUUCAACAAUAGCCUUAGAUGCAACUGUUUUUAAUGUCAUUUGUAGAAGAGGAAAUGGAAGCUCAGCAAGAUUAAAUAAUGUGCACAGAAUUAAGCAGUCAAUAAGGGGGACUUCUCCCCCAACCUCAAACCAAGCAAUUCUUCUUCACCAUGAAGUGGUGACUCUGAUGAAGUGAUGUGACACUUUUAUUGUCUCCAGUGAUGGUAAUUUUGAGUUUAUUAGUUCAGUCACUUCAUUCAGUAUACUGAGCACAUACUGUAGAUGUGAAUCAUAUGUAUUCAGCCUUUGAAAGAACAGAAAGGUGGAAAAUCAAGCUAGUUAGCCAGAGUUGGGUUUUACAAAAACAGUGAAACAAAACCAUCUGAAACUGAUUUUUUUUUCAUUAUCUAUGCAGGUAGGUCUUGAAGAUUGUUUCUUAAGUUCUCAGAGGUUGGUUAUUACUGGAAAAAAUUAAGUGUUGAUUUCUAAAGUAACUGGACCCUUUGGAUAGUGUAGGUUCUUGUGUGUUUGUUCAGUCGUUACUUUCAUUGUACCCUCUGCCUGGGAUGCUUUGUUCCUAAUCACAAGAUCUUUUAAGUCUUACCUCUGCGGUCACUCUUUCUGUAGGGAUCCUUCAUUAUUUUCCCUCUGUAAAUGAACUGUCCCUCAUUUUGGCUCUCAUUGCAGUUGUUUUCACUUUUCGUAUGUCACCAGUCUCCUUUCCUAAAUUAUGUUUUAUUAUCCAUUCAUCUAUUCACCCAUCCAUCCAUCCAUUCACCCAUCCAUCCAUCCAUCAUACUACACAUCUAUAAAUUUCUAGUCAGUGUUAGGGGCCCUGAAGUUGUAGGGGUGAAAUGAUACAGUUUCCACCCUCAGAGGCUUAAUGGGGAGACAGAGAAACAAACAGAACAUUUCAGUCAACUAUAGGUCUCCUUAUUCCAGCUCUAACUCAUCUGAAAAUGCACUCCUAUCAGUGACAGUUGCUCAUGAUGGCUGUGAUUCUGGUGGAUGAUAAAGAUUGGUGGGGAGAUAAAAGAGAGAAAGGAAGAAAUAUGCUCCCUGUGCUCCAGAAUGGGGUUGGGAAACACAUGAUGCAUGUCUCUCCAGCCCACUCCAGCCUCCUGAGCUGAGGAUCAGCAAGACAGAUUAUGCAGUGCGUCUUUGCAACAGAGAGGAGGUCUGCUCAUCCCACAUUUGGAGCACCCGUGGGUGGAGCAGGGAAGAUUUCUGGGAAACAGUGUUUGAAUUGAAUCAUGAAAAUGAGUAGGAGUCUGCUACAUGGGUAAGGGAGGGAAGAAAAGUCAGUAGAGAAGGUAGGCAGUGCUUGCAAAGGCCUGAGCACUGCAAGAAUGGACUAAUACGCUAUGUGAAGACAAAGGGGAUGUCUGCAAGCCAGGACGAGUGCGUCUACCAGAAACUGAGUUCUGCUGGACUUUGAUCUAGGACAUCCAGCCUCCAGAAUGGAAUGUGCCAUAUGUGGAGACCUGCAUGGAAAGGAACUGAGGAUGCUCUCUCACUAAAAGCUAGAAGGAACUGAGGCCCUCAGUCAACAGUCUACAAGACACUGAAUCUUGCCAGCAGCCAAGCAGUGAGCUUGAAAGCAGAUCUAUCAUCAGCUGAACCUUCAGAUGAGACCGCAGCCUAAGCAGAUACCUUGGUUGCAGCCAUGUGAGACAACCUGAAACAGAGGGCACAGCUAAGCCUCAGCCAGGUUCAUGACCCUCUGAGGAAACUGUGAGAAAGCAAAUGUCAUUUUAAGCUAUUUAAUUUUGGAGGUAGUUUAUUACACAACAAUAAAUAACUAUUAUAAUUAUCUUGAGGAUUUAUUUCCUGGGGAGAAUACAUGGAAUUGCAUAUAUAGGUCCUCAUAUGCAGAAUACUGGUACCCUAGAGAUGUUCACCCCAGAGAUGUUUUAGGAACCUGUGAAUAUGUUACAUUAAAUGGCAAAGUUUUCCUGGAUGGUUUAAGUUUAAGAUGGAAAAGUUUUACUGGAUUAUCCAGUGGGUCCAAUCUAGUAACAUGAGUCCUUAAAAAUGGAGAAUAUUUUUUGGCCAUGAUCAGAGAGACAUGUGAUGAUGGAAAAAGUGUCAGAGAUGCAAUGUGAGGGGACUAAAACUGCUGUUGCUGACUUUAAAGAUGGAGAGAGGGGAACCCGAGUCAAGGAAUGCAAAUGGCCUCUGGAAGCUGGAAAAAGCAAGAAAUGGAUUCUCCUUUAGAGCCUGUGGAAUAAAAUGCAGUCAUGCUGACACCUUGAUUUUACCUCAGUGAGACCAAUACUGGAGUAUGACCUUCGGAGCUGAAUAAAAUUAUACGUACACAUCUUAAUUUCUUGGGAUUUGAUUACUUCUUCUGCUUUGAAAUUAGACCAAGUUUAGCCUGCCUUUGCUAUUUUGGCGUAUCUCCAAUUCUUCAUGAUUUUCUCAUCGCAAAGGCCACAUAAGGACAGUGAGAAGGCAGCCACCUGCAAGCCAGGAAGAAAGGUCUCACCAGAUACCAACCCUGCCAGCAUGUUGAUCUUGGACUUCCAGCCUCCAAAACUGGCCUUCUGCUCACAUGGGCUUCCGUGCACCUGCUUCAGGAGACAGCAACACUUGCGCCCGCACCGCGGCAGGCUCCCAUCACCUGGUGGAUAUGCCGCGCCGAGUCUCAUCACACCUUAGUGAAGGAACACAUGGACCCAUAUGUUAGCGGAUGUAUUUACAUCGUUUUAUACAGAAAGGGGAAAUGGAGUCUUGCUCUGUCACACAUGCUAGAGUCCAGUGGUAUGACCUCAGCUCACUGCAAUCUCUGCCUCCCGGGUUCAAAUGAUUCUUCUGCCUUGACCUCCCUGGCAGCUGGGACUACAGGCCUGCACCACCACGCCUGGCAAAUUUUUUAAUUUUUUUUAGUAGAGAUGGGGUUUCACCAUGUUGGCCAGGCUAGUCUCGAACUCCUGACCUCAAAUGAUCUGCCCGCUUUGGCCUUCCAAAGUUCUGGGAUUAUAGGAGUGAGCCACCAUGCCCAGCCUGUUCUUAAGUCUCCUAGAACAGGGAUUCUGAAACACAAAACUCAUCUGGCAAAGAGUUCUAAGAUGCAUUUCACAGCACUCCACAGAAGGAAGGUUCAGAGCCAAUCAUCUGCACCAGUGCCCAACUUAAAAACAUCCUUGUAUCAGUUUUCCCUUAUUUCCUGUUCUCCUCCCUAAACCUUCAGUCCUGUUCCUGGCAAUCACUUCCAGAAUAAACCAUAUACAUGCCUCAGAUUCUGAUCUCAGAGGAUCCCAGACUAAUACAGAGAUACACUAUGCUGAUUGCUUAACCCGCAUUUUCUCAUUUAAUUGAAACAUAUACGUGGUAAGGUAUUUAUUCAUACCUGCAUGAUUUUGUAGAUAAACCUUAGAGAAAUUAAUACUUUUCAGAAGGCAAUUAAAGUAACACAGCAAGCAAUUGAUAAAACCUGGAUUCGCCAAGUUAAACUGGUCUGGUUUCAAAACCUGUAUUGUUUCCUAACAUACCACCUAAAUUCUCAAAUGGUAUUGGAAGGGGUUAAAUGAGAUUAUAAAUGUAAAAUUCUUGGUAUAGUUAAUUCUCAAAAAUAGGCCUUCAAUCUAUAGAAUCCAUUUGUAGAACUAUCUUCAGGAAGGAAAAAUACAUCACCCUCCACCCCACCCUCAAAGAAACAUGGAAAAUUUAAACUAAGACUUCAAAUCUUGAGCUCUGCACAUCUUAGAAUAUUUUGUUUCUAUGAAAAAGAAGCUUUGGAGAAUGUGUAUCAGUCUGAAACACUGUAGUGUGAGCACAGAAAUCAGCCCAUCACAUUAUGCCCCAAAUGCUGAAGUACGGCUGAAUCUGAUUGCCCUGCAUUUUUAAGUACUGCAAAAUUCUGGGACUUGGGAUCAUCUGUUACUACAGACUUGUCAUAUUCCACUGAAAUAAAACAUAUAGUCUAAUUUGCAAAGUUCUCGUGUGGAAAGAGUCCUAAAAUGUAUAUAACCUCUGUCCCAGCAAUUCCAUUAGGAAUUUAUCCAAUCCAAAAUCUAAAAUGCAGAAGAUCUACAUAUUGAAUGCUUAUGGCAGCAUUCUUUAAAAUUAUGAAAAUUGAAAGCAACCAAAAUCCUCAAAAACAGACUAAUGGCUAAGUAGUAUAACCAUACUAUGAAAUGUGGUAAUUGAAUAUUCAAAUUUGUGUUGUAUAAAAAAUUAAUAAUGGUAUAACAUUUGGCUAUAAAAUAGAAUGAAUUCAAUUGUAUUUUUUAAACCAGUACAUCUGCAUAUUUGUGAACCUAAAAGAUAAGACGGUAAAUAUUUAACUGUAUUUUUCUUUAAUUGUUGGGGCUGUGAAUUAUUUUAAUUUUCUUAAUGCUUUUUAAUCUUCUCUGAAAAUUUUAUAAUAAUCUCUA
rnacentral:lncRNA from 1 species